GUACCUUCACUAACCCAGAAUAUAAUGGUAUGUAGUUGCGGAUGAAUACCAAAUGAAGUGAUUUACAUAGCUUAUAGCUAGUUAACGAUCAAAAUGGAUGGUACAUAGAACCCUUAGCUACUCUAACAAGUCAAAACUAUUAAUAAAACUUUUGAAGCAAGAGAAGGUAUUCAAACUUACAAGUAUCAAAAACAAGGUACUCUUCUCCCCAACUUUGCCUCAAAAAAAAAACA
rnacentral:lncRNA from 1 species